ACGAAGGGGGCUAGCGUUGUUCGGAUUUACUGGGCGUAAAGCGCGUGUAGGCGGGCUGGAAAGUUGGGGGUGAAAUCCCGAGGCUCAACCUCGGAACUGCCUCCAAAACUUCCAGCCUGGACUCAAGCAGAGGCAAGUGGAAUUGCGAGUGUAGAGGUGAAAUUCGUAGAUAUUCGCAGGAACACCAGUGGCGAAGGCGGCAUCCUGGACCGAGAUUGACGCUGAGGCGCGAAAGCUAGGGUAGCAAACGGGA
rnacentral:rRNA from 1 species